UUCUAAGUGUCUCAGUGGUAAAGAAUCUGCCUGCUAAGCAGAAGACUCAGGUUCAAUCCCUGAAUCAGAAA
rfam:Ovis aries breed Texel chromosome 12, whole genome shotgun sequence.